GACGAAGGAUGCAAGCGUUAUCCGGAUUCAUUGGGUUUAAAGGGAGCGUAGGUGGCCUUAUAAGUCAGUGGUGAAAUCUCUGGGCUUAACCCAGAAAUUGCCAUUGAUACUGUAGGGCUUGAGUAUAGUUGCCGUUGGCGGAAUAUGACAUGUAGUGGUGAAAUACAUAGAGAUGUCAUAGAACACCGAUUGCGAGGCAGCUGACGAACUAUAACUGACACUGAGGCUCGAAAGUGCGGGGGGAUCAAACAGGAUAGAA
rnacentral:rRNA from 1 species